rnacentral:rRNA from 1 species
CGGGGCAGCAUGGGGGUUGCUUGCAACCCCUGAUGGCGACUGGCGCACGGGUGAGUAACGCGUAUCCAACCUGCCCUUCACCACGGGAUAACCCGGCGAAAGUCGGACUAAUACCGUAUGUUGUCCAUUGACGGCAUCCGAUUUGGACGAAAGGCUUAGCGGUGAGGGAUGGGGAUGCGUCCGAUUAGCUUGACGGCGGGGUAACGGCCCACCGUGGCAACGAUCGGUAGGGGUUCUGAGAGGAAGGUCCCCCACACUGGAACUGAGACACGGUCCAGACUCCUACGGGAGGCAGCAGUGAGGAAUAUUGGUCAAUGGGCGGAAGCCUGAACCAGCCAAGUAGCGUGCAGGAUGACGGCCCUAUGGGUUGUAAACUGCUUUUAUGCGGGGAUAAAGGAGCCCACGUGUGGGUUUUUGCAGGUACCGCAUGAAUAAGGACCGGCUAAUUCCGUGCCAGCAGCCGCGGUAAUACGGAAGGUCCGGGCGUUAUCCGGAUUUAUUGGGUUUAAAGGGAGCGUAGGCCGCCCCUUAAGCGUGUUGUGAAAUGCGGGUGCUCAACAUCCGACUUGCAGCGCGAACUGGGGGGCUUGAGUGCGCCGAAAGUAGGCGGAAUCCGUGGUGUAGCGGUGAAAUGCUUAGACAUCACGAAGAACUCCGAUUGCGAAGGCAGCUUACUGUAGCGCAACUGACGCUGAUGCUCGAAAGCGUGGGUAUCGAACAGGAUUAGAUANCNUGGUAGUCCACGCGGUAAACGAUGGAUGCUCGUUGUCGGCCUGUGUGGUCGGUAACCAAGCGAAAGCGUUAAGCAUCCCACCUGGGG